CCUUCUCGAAUAUUUCAGUUGAAAUACUUUUUAAUAUUUUAAGGAUAUUUUGGUAAAAAAUUCUGUUUUGGUUGACAAACUCUCUUAUCUUAAUAACGGUAUAGAUAUAUAUGACUUGAAUAUAAAAAAUAUUUGAACGGGCCCAACACAUGUAAAAAGGGCCCAACCCAACACUUCAUGUCCAACGAUAUAAAGGCAUAUCUAGCGAAACCCUAAAAUCAGAUCCAGAAAAAUCCCAAUUCUCGCCGAAUCAUGGUAUCGUCUGAGGUGUUCUAUGCUCUCGUAAACCCCGUUUUGGGAGUCCUGCUUGUUGGAUACUUUGCAAAGGUCACACCUAUCGCUGAAGACAUGCUAAAAGACUGGAAACGUAGCAACGAGAUCAUACUGGAAUCUUGCACGGAGGAGAUGAGAGAAAGAGGCAGGAAUGUCUCUAAGGUUCAGAAAUGAACCCGUCAUAAUGUGAAUUUGUGAGAGACUACUUUUGGCUUUAUGUAAUUAUAACUACUUCGACGCUCAGUAUUUCUCAUGUCUUAGUUUAGACGGUUCUAUAUUGUACCUUAACUUAGUGGCAAGGCCUUGUAACUUGUAAGAGAGUGAACGUGUCUUGAUAUGUACAAAAAUCUCUUUUAUGUUAUCUGAUUUGUUUGGUUUAAUAUUGUGUUUUCUGAUGUUUAUCCGGUUUCUUGUAUUUUUAUGUAUAUGUUUAAAACUCAAAAGUAAUUUACAAUCAAUAUUAAUAUGCAAAAGAAUUUAUAGAAAAUUCUCAUAAGUGUCAUUUUGAAACUUUAAUUAGUCAUAAGGUCACUUAAUUUUUCUUGUACAUAUAAGGCCACUUGCAUCCUCAAAUUAUUUUUUUCUGACCGUUUUGUCCUUCAUAAAAGAAAACUAACUGCAUCAUUCACUCUCUCUAUUGCAAAAAAAGAAAAUCAUUCUCUCUCUCUCUCUCUCUCUCUCGGCGAGAACCCUUCCUUAGGAUCUCGUUCAGCUCUGACAGCAUCCUUCCUCACCAUCUCGCUCGGCUCCGGUAGCACAGGACUGUCGGAUGCGACAACUCCGUCAUCGAUUCCGUUCUCUAUUACCGUUCUCAGCAGGAGCUGACCCGAACGGAGACGAGCUGGAGUAGUUCGGCCUCAGAUCUUGGAAUCCAAACGACAAACCCAUCGCCGCGUCGUCCAGUUCCGGCAACCUGACGGUCCGGCGAUGCUAGGUGAGGAGGUUGAAGACGAAGCUUCAAAGGACGAGAUCGAGAGCGCAAAGAGCUCUCAACUGCCUGAGAUUCAUCGGCACCAUCUUCCUCAUCACUAGAUCGCAACCACUUUAGCUUCAUCUACCUGAUUGGGCAUUCAAGUUGCUGUAGAGGCAGAGUAUCAGAUCACUCCUUCAGUAAGCUUUGGAGUUUCAAUUAUGGCAAUUAUUGAUGGAAUUGUUGCAUUUUAUUUUGGAUAAUUAAACUUAAAGUAGAUGUAGAUUAGGUUAUGUGGUUGAGGUAUUUCAAGCUGGUCUUGAAGAUCAUAUUUUAUAUUUGCAUUAUUUUGUUGA